AGGACUUGAGAAUGAUCUGGCUACAACAUCUGUCACCCCAUUGAUUGCCAGGGCUGAUUUGGUGGAUCCAGCCUGCUGGGUGGGCACCCCCUUCCUCCUUCCCUGCCCUGUGUGCUCCCCCCCAUAGAGGAGGACCGUGCUUGGGUUGAGGCUUUACGAGCUGCUGUGUUACCCUGCUAGAACUUCAAGCAAGCUCUCAAGGCCCAUUUGUAAGAGAAUGGAGGGUAGUCAGGCUUCCAAGUUUCCAGACACAUCCAGAUGAGGUGCUGUAUGUGGCUGUGUGCCUUUCA
rnacentral:snRNA from 1 species